rnacentral:rRNA from 1 species
CAGCUCGUGUCGUGAGAUGUUGGGUUAAGUCCCGCAACGAGCGCAACCCUUGUUNUUAGUUGCCUUUUAUGGAACUCUAAAAAGACUGCCGGUUAUAAACCGGAGGAAGGUGGGGAUGACGUCAAGUCAGCAUGCCCCUUACACCCUGGGCUACACACGUGCUACAUUGGGCGAGACAAUGAGAUGCAAAUCUGUGAAGACUAGCUAAUCUAUAAACUCGUUCUAAGUUCGGAUUGUAGGCUGCAACUCGCCUACAUGAAGGUGGAAUCGCUAGUAAUCGCUGGU